CCAACUGGGCAGAGGGAUCCUCCUCCCAUCAUCACUGGGAGAAGAGCCCAAUCCCACCUCACUGCAACCUCCUUUCAGGGAGUUGGAGAGAGCAAGGAGGUGUCCCCUCAGCCUCCUCUUCUCCACACUAAACAGCCCCAGGUCCCUCAGCUACUCCUCACCUGAAGCAAACUGUGGCAAUGAGAGGCUCUCAAAGUCACAAGAGGCUAAAGGAGGCAUCUAGCACACUUUGCUCCUUCUACACGUGGCCCCUGCACUGCCUUUACGCCCAGAAGGAAGAGGAGGCACUCACUGCCUGCAGCUGGAGAGCCAGGUCGUUCUUCUCCUGGAUCAUGGAGACCUGCUUUUCUUCCAGCUCUUUCCUCUUAGCCUCAGACUUCUCCAGAGCCUCCUUCAGCUUCUGGAAUUCCUCCUUCAGGUUGGACAUCUCUUUCUCAGUCUGAGCAGACUUGAGUAAAGGCUUGAUCUUGAAGAACAACUUCAUCCAGGACCAGUUCUUGACAGCA